rnacentral:sRNA from 1 species
AGCAUCCUCAUGUGCAUAGUUAGGAAGUAGCAGAGCCAGGAUUUGAACUCUGGCAGCCUGGCUCCAGAGCCUACACUCUUUACCACUAUCUCAUACUAGAAGGACAGAGAGAAGGCAGUUUUUUGAGACGGAGUACCUUAAAACCUGCAACAGGUUAAUUAUUUUAGAUUUGCUCUACAGGUAUUCUGAGAGAAGCCUCACAAAGUGUAUUGGAAUUACUAUUGAAACCAGACCAGAUUACUGCAUGAAGCGGCAUUUAAGUGACAUGUUGACCUAUGGCUGCACAAGGCUGGAGAUUGGGGUGCAGAGUGUUUAUGAAGAUGUGGCUAGAGACACCAACAGAGGCCACACUGUGAAGGCAGUCUGUGAGUCAUUUCACCUGGCCAAAGAUUCCGGUUUCAAAGUGGUGGCCCAUAUGAUGCCUGACCUGCCAAAUGUGGGACUAGAAAGAGACAUUGAACAGUUCACA